UACGAAGGGGGCUAGCGUUGUUCGGAAUUACUGGGCGUAAAGCGCACGUAGGCGGAUACUUAAGUCAGGGGUGAAAUCCCGGGGCUCAACCCCGGAACUGCCUUCGAUACUGGGUAUCUCGAGUCCGGAAGAGGUGAGUGGAAUUCCGAGUGUAGAGGUGAAAUUCGUAGAUAUUCGGAGGAACACCAGUGGCGAAGGCGGCUCACUGGUCCGGUACUGACGCUGAGGUGCGAAAGCGUGGGGAGCAAACAGG
rnacentral:rRNA from 1 species